AUGAUCCCCACCCUCUCAGCCCAGGACCCCCAAACCCCACAGGGAGGAGCCCCAUCCUCCACAGCCCAGCACAACAAGCUUUGCUGGGACCAUCCUGUGCCCCCCAUUCCAGCACCGCUAAGCCCUGCUGGGAUGAUCAGCAUCCUCCCCAGCCCAGCACCCCCAGCCCAGCUGGAACAAUCCCCAUUUCCCCAUCAGUGCACUCCCAAGCCCUUCCAGGCAAAUCCCCAUGUCCCCCAUCUGCACAUCACCAAGCCCUACAGGGAUGAUCCCCAUCCUCACGAUCCUCACACCCCCAGACAACUGGCACCAUCCCCAUGUCCCCAUCCCGCACCCCCAGCCCAGUUGCCACCAUCUCUGUAUCCCCAUCCUCAUCUCCCCCAUCCCACACACCCAGCCCAACUGGCAACUUCCCUGUAUCCCUGUCCCCAUGUCACCCAUCCCUGCACCUCCAGCCCAGCUGGCACCAUCCCUGUGUCCCCAUCCCCCUAUCCCCCAUUCUGCACCCCCAGCCCAUCUGGCAACAUGCCCAUCUCCUCAUCUCCGCAUAGCCAUAGCCCAGCUGGGACCAUCCCCAUGGCCCCAACCCCAUGUCACCUGUCUCUGCACCACCAGCCCAGCCAGGACCAUCCCCAUCUCCUGAUCCCCACCUCCCCAUCCCCACACCCCCAGGCCAACUGGAACCAUCCCCAUGUCAUCCAUCGCUGUACCCCUAGGCCAGCUGGCACCGUCCCCAUCUCCUCAUCCCCACACCCUCAGCCCAGCUGGCACCAUCCCUGUGUCCCCAUCCCCAGGGUCCCAUCCCCACACACUGCAGCCCAGCCAGGACCAUCCCCAUCUCCCCAACCCCACUUCCCCAUCCCUGCACCCCCAGCCCAGCCGGGACCAUCCCCAUCUCCUCAUCCCCACACCCCCAGCCCAGCCGGGACCAUCCCCACCUCCCCAUCCCAGCUGGGACCAUGCCCAGCCGGGACCAUCCCCAUCUCCCCAGCCCCACCUCCCCAGCCCCGCACCCCCAGCCCAGCCAGGACCAUCACCACCUCCCCAGCCCAGCUGGGACCAUGCCCAGCUGGGACCAUCCCCAUCCCACCCCCCAUCCCAGCUGUGCCCACCCCA
rnacentral:lncRNA from 1 species